GGGGAAUGUUGGACAAUGGACGCAAGUCUGAUCCAGCCAUGCCGCGUGCGGGAAGAAGGCCUUCGGGUUGUAAACCGCUUUUGUCAGGGAAGAAACGAGUUUCUCUAAUACAGAGACUUAAUGACGGUACCUGAAGAAUAAGCACCGGCUAACUACGUGCCAGUAGCCGCGGUAAUACGUAGGGUGCAAGCGUUAAUCGGAAUUACUGGGCGUAAAGCGUGCGCAGGCGGUUAUGCAAGACAGGGGUGAAAUCCCCGGGCUCAACCUGGGACCUGCAUUUGUGAAUGGAUAGCUAGAGUACGGUAGAGGGGGAUGGGAUUCCGCGUGUAGCAGUGAAAUGCGUAGAUAUGCGGAGGAACACCGAUGGCGAAGGCAAUCCCCUGGACCUGUACUGACGCUCAUGCACGAAAGCGUGGGGAGCAAACA
rnacentral:rRNA from 1 species